rnacentral:rRNA from 1 species
GGCGAUACCCGAAUGGGGAAACCCAGUGUGAUUCGUCACACUAUCAUUAACUGAAUCCAUAGGUUAAUGAGGCGAACCGGGGGAACUGAAACAUCUAAGUACCCCGAGGAAAAGAAAUCAACCGAGAUUCCCCCAGUAGCGGCGAGCGAACGGGGAGGAGCCCAGAGCCUGAAUCAGCAUGUGUGUUAGUGGAAGCGUCUGGAAAGGCGCGCGAUACAGGGUGACAGCCCCGUACACAAAAGCGCAUGUGCUGUGAGCUCGAUGAGUAGGGCGGGACACGUGGUAUCCUGUCUGAAUAUGGGGGGACCAUCCUCCAAGGCUAAAUACUCCUGACUGACCGAUAGUGAACCAGUACCGUGAGGGAAAGGCGAAAAGAACCCCGGCGAGGGGAGUGAAAAAGAACCUGAAACCGUGUACGUACAAGCAGUGGGAGCACCCUUUGGGGUGUGACUGCGUACCUUUUGUAUAAUGGGUCAGCGACUUAUAUUCUGUAGCAAGGUUAACCGAAUAGGGGAGCCGGAGGGAAACCGAGUCUUAAU